AUGAAAAAAGGCUAUGGCCAGGGGAUCCUUGCUGCUCUUUCUGUGAUCAAUUGGAAACAUCUUAGCACUUGUUGUUCUAGGGUGGUGUGGAGAACUGUGGGUUCUCUUCCAAGAACUGAUUGUUGUCCUAACUAUGUGUGGCAAUACUAUGCUUGUGUCUAUAGUUUUCUGCCUGGCCUUAAUGAGUUGUACACUGUUGGCUUGGUGGCUAUAUGCUGGGCCAUUUGGCUGGCUCAAAACCGGGCUACUUUUGAACACAAAUGGAUUAAUACUCCGUUUGAGAUUGUGUUUACAGCUUGUGCCUUUUUGAUUUAUUGGGCAGGUUUACAGAAGCCUGAAACAGGUGAGAUGAUGAAGAGGGGCGUGGAGAUGUUGAAGGAGAACAUAUCCCAGAUGAUGCUGUUGUGCGGCCCUCCGGCCUCAACCAUGGGCGGAAACGACGGUAACUGA
rnacentral:rRNA from 1 species